UACGUAGGGUGCGAGCGUUAAUCGGAAUUACUGGGCGUAAAGGGUGCGCAGGCGGCGUCGCAAGUCAGGCGUGAAAUCCCCGGGCUUAACCUGGGAACUGCACUUGAAACUACGAUGCUGGAGUAUGGCAGAGGGAGGUGGAAUUCCACGUGUAGCGGUGAAAUGCGUAGAUAUCGUGAGGAAGACCAGUGGCGUAAGCGAAUCUCUGGACAGUUCCUGACGCUGAGGCACGAAGGCUAGGGGAGCAAACGGG
rnacentral:rRNA from 1 species